rnacentral:rRNA from 1 species
GACGAACCGUCCAAACGUUAUUCGGAAUCACUGGGCUUACAGAGUUCGUAGGCGGUCUGGAAAGUUGGGUGUGAAAUCCCUCGGCCUAACCGAGGAACUGCGCUUGAAACUACCAGACUCGAGGGGGAUAGAGGAAAGCGGAACUGAUGGUGGAGCGGUGAAAUGCGUUGAUAUCAUCAGGAACACCGGUGGCGAAGGCGGGUCUCUGGGCCGAUACUGACGCUGAGGAGCGAAAGCGUGGGGAGCGAACAGGAUUGAGAUACCCGUAG